CCUAUUUAAAAAGUUUAUUUAUAAAUGAUCGCGUAUUCAAAGCCUGAAUUUAACUAACGCUUUACAUAUCAUUCCAGUUUUACGUAUAUUUAAUUAUUUAAAUUUCUUUCCUUUGAUGCUCUUUCAUAUUCUAAUUUUUGAAUUCUAUCAGUAGAAUUCUACAGUCUGCAUUUAACUUGAAGAUUUUCAAAAUGAUAGAUUUAACUGAAAAUAAAGGCAAUAAACAAGAAAAUCAAUAUCUUAAAUCGGAGAGCCAAAUAUAUGAUUCAGACGAACAACCUGACUUUUCACAUAGGAUUAUUGAAAAUAUAAUUAAAAAGAUAAAAAAUUACAAAAAAUUAAGUUAUAAAGCAAUAAUCUUCUUGAGAGUUCUUGAGUGCUGCCAGGGACACUGGAACUAAUUCUGAGAUGACUGAGCCAUGCGGGAGAGGAAUGAACUUAGGCCUGCUGUAACACCCAGCAAAUGUUGGAAGAAAUAGGUUCCCUGUAUAGUUGUAGAAGGGAAUUGGUGACAUCUCAUUGUGUUGUUUGUGAGCCACUAGACGAAGGACCCACUGGAAUUUCUUGCUCAGCUUAGCCUUUAUUGCUCCUGCAAAGCCCAAGGCAACAGUGUAUAGUUUUCCAAGAUGGUCAUAGAAAGACACCAAGUCACAGAAUUUGGAGAAGUGUAGAUGGGUAGUCUCGUACAACUUAAGUUCAACUUCCACUCUGGUAGACAUUUGCAUUUGUUUCUGUUUAGUUUUGCAAGGAGGGAUUUUCACAAGCCAGGUAGCACACAAUGUAGACAUGAAGGAAAUGCAUUGUAAUUGAGGGUAAUACACCUAGGUAUCACAUUAUGUCCUCUGCACUUCAAAAGAAAAAGCAUCUGGGCAUGUAAUUUAUGCCAUAAUUUUUUCAGCUUCAACAUGGAAUAGAACAUCCAUUUUCUAGUAUUCAUCUUGUAAAGUAAUGUAAAAAUAUAGCUUGGAUGUCAUGCCAACAAAUGUACAUAAGAGAGAGAAAUAAAUUGACACAAACUGGUGUUAAAGAGCUUUUAAUUCUUUGCAAGUGCUUUUGACAUUCCUAUAAACGUUGUGUUCAGGCAAUGACACAAGUUGAAUGCUUUUUCAGAACGAAUUUUAAAGUAUAGAAACACAACAGUGUUAACCGAAUGGAAUACAAAACAUAAAAUUUAAAACACUUAAAACUUAAAAUUAAAACAUUUUUUGAAAAUCACACAGUGCCAACACACAUGUGCCUAGAGAUGUGGAGACAAAUACAUAGAAAGGUGCAGGGAAGGUGGAGAUAAACAGUUAGUUAGUAUUAUUUAUUUGCUUGUACAAAUUGACCCAAAUGUCAGGCAACUCGAGGGUGGGAGUUGCAGGGGGACAACAGUGUGGUGAAGAGUGACUUCCAAAUAAGCACUAGGCUCCUUUCACUGCAAUUCCUAAGUAAUUCAGAGCAGCCCCAAAGCAAGGUAUGGUGACCAUCUUGGAUAAUUCUGUGUCACACCUUCCCACCAUCACAGAAUGUUUGUGCUCAGCUAAUCGACAAGACAGCAUUCUGGUGGUAGCUCCUAUGUAGCAGGUGUGUAUCCCAGUUCAUUCCUCCAAUUCAGAGAUGCAUAACUUAGGCAUCUGUGAAUUAAUCAUAAACAAUAAUCAUAAACUACAAUAAAAUUCCAAUUAUCUGAGUCUCAAGUAAUUUAGAUUCCACAUUAUCUGUAAGUGAAUACACCACUUUUCAUAUAUUGUAAUUCAUAAA
rnacentral:misc_RNA from 1 species